UGAGGCGCGCCGAGUUUGAUCCUGGCUCAGAGUGAACGCUGGCGGCGUGCUUAACACAUGCAAGUCGAACGAGAACGGGUUAUAGCUUGCUAUAACUGUCAGCUAAGUGGCGCACGGGUGAGUAAUAUAUAGUUAACCUGCCCUAGAGAAGGGGAUAACGUUUGGAAACGGACGCUAACACCCUAUAUGCCUUUAAUACAUAAGUAUGCAAGGGAAACAUUUAUGGCUCUAGGAUGGGACUGUACGGUAUCAGUUAGUUGGUGAGGUAAUGGCUCACCAAGACAAUGACACCUAACUGGUUUGAGAGGAUGAUCAGUCACACUGGAACUGAGACACGGUCCAGACUCCUACGGGAGGCAGCAGUGGGGAAUAUUGCACAAUGGACGAAAGUCUGAUGCAGCAACGCCGCGUGGAGGAUGACACAU
rnacentral:rRNA from 1 species